GUCCUGUCAAAGUGUGGGUCUGAAUGCUGAUCAGACUGACUCUCUGACUUUCUCCUCUUUCUCUCUCCUCUGGUGUCAUUCUGGCAAGGGCGUUGGUCUCCUUGUCUUUCUGUUCCAGUAGACUGUCUAGGUGGUGGAUGUGCAUCUCAGCCUCAGCCAGUCUCCUGGUCCUCUCAUGGUCCUCCUCUGAGGCCUUGGCUGACAGACCUGGAAUACACACCAUAGUGAUGCUUUUAAAAGUGUGUGUGUGUGUUGUGUUGUGUUGUGUUGUGUUGUGGGUGUGUGUGGGUGUGUGUGUGUGCGUGCGUGCGUGUGUGUGAACCCCACCAUACCUUUGCUCUGCAGCAUCUCCAGUAGUUUCUUGAUAGACUGGUCUCUGGCCCCCAGGGUCUGUUUCUGACUGUCGAUCCUCAACUCCAUCUCCUCCAACGUCUUCCUCAGGAGGAACAACUCUUUGGCCUGGAGGUUACAUUCAAUACAAUUCAAUUCAAACUAAUUGUAUUUUCCUUGGCCUAGAGGUUAGAUUAAAUGAAAUGCAACUGUAUUCAUCUCUUUGGCCUAGAGGAAAGUGUCACACCCUGAUCUGUUUCACCUGUCUUUGUGAUUGUCUCCACCCCCCUCCAGGUGUCGCCCAUCUUCCCCAUUAUCCCCUGUGUAUUUAUACCUGUGCUCUCUGUUUGUCUGUUGUCAGUUUGUUUUGUUUUGUUCGUCAAGCCUACCAGCGUUUUCCCCUUGCUCCUAUCUUUUUCCAGUUCCUAACUAUUCCUACACAUUGGGGCCGUGCAUUUUCUAGUACCUGUUUUCUAGUUUUCCUGGUUUUUACCAUUCUGUCUACCCUGACCCUGAGCCUGCCUGCCGUUCUGUACCUUAUGGACUCUGAUCUGGAUUACUGACCUCUGCCUGCCCCCUGUUCAAGUAAUAAACUGUUGUUAUUUUAACAGUGUGCAUCUGUGUCUUCUCCUGAAACGGAAUAGUUAGAUUCAAUUCAAUUUAAUGGGAGAACACAAGACACCUCCUUUCAGUAAUGUCAACUCCUGAAUCCAAGAUACUUCUCAGCAUGUUUGUGUUAUUUAUUCAUUCACUUAGUUAGCCUAGAGAUUAGAUUCAAUCAAACGUUAUUUAUUUAAUGAACUUUCUAAUUCAAUGAACUUUAUUGAUACCAGUAGGGGAAACAUGACAUGAUUGUGAUAUUUCUAAAUGAGGUUAGUUAGUUCUUUAUACUUGUUGUACUGUUGUAUGUCCAUUACCAUUGCAUUCCUCAAGUUAUUCAGAGGAGUAUGCCUUCUGCCAAAUGAAAUGAAAUAGAGUGUACAACAUGACACUGAAUAAAGUACAGAAUCCUAAAUAAGACUCUGAUGAACUGACA